UGCUCGCCCUCCUAAACCCCGAUUUUUAUCACUAGAAAUCCGCCAGAGAACUAAAAGCAAAAGCCUGAAACUCAAAGGACUUGACGGUGUCCCACACAACCUAGAGGAGCCUGUCACAUAAUCGACACCCCACGCUAAACCUCACCCCCCCUUGCACACCAACCUAUAUACCGCCGUCGAAAGCCCGCCCCUUGAGAGCCCCCCAGCAGGCCAAACUAUAACACACGCACACGUCAGGUCAAGGUGUAGUUUAAGGGGCGGCCGUAGAUGGGCUACACUCUCUAAGCCAGAGUCCUUAAGGUGACAUGAAAGCCCACCAACAAGCUGGAUUUAGAAGUAAGCCAUGUAAGAUUACCUGCCUGAACACAGCCCUGGGACGCGUACAC
rnacentral:rRNA from 1 species